ensembl:lncRNA
AGCAGAUCAACUUUUGUACAGAUAAUUAUCAGACUCAAGUUACAAAUGCUGGAAAACACUCAAAUACAUUUAGUUAAAACAGUUUGACAAAAGUAGUGCACUGGGCCUUUACUAGUCCUGUAUUAGUGGAUCGAUACAGACUUCUUCAGUGGGGGCAAUUCAUCUUUCCCCCCUUGGCAUAAAACAUUUAAUAAAUCACUGCACCCCCAAACUACUUUCCACGGCUAUGUCUGUAUAUAGUUUGUAUUUCCGGUUUUCAUUUUCAUUCCUGUUACAAUUUGCACGUGACAAAGACUUGCACAAUAUUGGCGAGCCUAAACAAAUGGCAAACAAUAACAGUUGAUUGCCAGGAAAUGUGCUUCGGUCAUCAAGUGCAAUGUGUCAACAGAUUGAAAAUACAAGUGACAGAACCUAUUGGCACCGCAAAAAGUCUGGUAAACAAUGCUUUCCUGUGGAUACCCUAUCUCCACCUACCGCCAAAAGGACCGACAGCAUGUACAACCGGUAAAAAGGCCAGACAAGCGAGACAGCUUCAUGUUCAUCAGCCUUUCACUCUCACCCUCUGCCCAAGAAAGAAGAGGAGUGGUAUGUUUCACCAUUCACACACAUGCAGCUCUCUCUUCAGUGUAACAGUAAGGCUGAGGCGGUCCACAUGCUGUGACAGCGUUACCAGGAGCUUGCAGAAUAGAGGAUUCUCG